UGUGGGGGGGACCUCCAGCGCCCCGGGGCAUCCCUGCGCCUCCUCUGCCGAGGGUCCGGGCUCGAUUUUGGGGAUUAUGGAAUGUACUGGAUCCGCCAGAGACCAGGGCAGGCGCUGGAAUACGUCGCAGGCAUCUACUACAACAGUGCCAACACCUUCUACGCGCCAUCGGUCAAAGGCUGGUUCACGAUCUCCAGGGACAAUGGGCAGAGCUCGGUCACGCUGACCGUGAACAACCUCAAGGACGAGGAUCCCGCCAUUUAUUUCUGCGCGAAGUGUGCUGCUAAUAAUUACCGUGAACAUGCUGCACAUCGUGAACCGGCCCUGCACUGA